rnacentral:rRNA from 1 species
AGCGAACGCUGGCGGCAGGCCUAAUACAUGCAAGUCGAGCGCACCUUCGGGUGAGCGGCGGACGGGUGAGUAACGCGUGGGAACGUGCCCUUUGGUACGGGAUAACUGAGGGAAACUUCAGCUAAUACCGUAUGUGCCUACGGGGGAAAGAUUUAUCGCCAUUGGAGCGGCCCGCGUUGGAUUAGGUAGUUGGUGAGGUAAAGGCUCACCAAGCCUACGAUCCAUAGCUGGUCUGAGAGGAUGAUCAGCCACACUGGGACUGAGACACGGCCCAGACUCCUACGGGAGGCAGCAGUAGGGAAUCUUGCGCAAUGGGCCAAAGCCUGACGCAGCCAUGCCGCGUGAAUGAUGAAGGUCUUAGGAUUGUAAAAUUCUUUCACCGGGGAAGAUAAUGACGGUACCCGGAGAAGAAGCCCCGGCUAACUUCGUGCCAGCAGCCGCAGUAACAC